UUCUGCACCUUGUUGAUGGUGAUUUUUUCACUUUAUAUAUCCUGGAGAACUCUCCAUAUCAACAUAUAGAACCUUUGCUGUAUUUUUUUUAACAGCUGCAUAGUACUCUGCUCGGUGACAUGCCAUAAUUUAUUUAAGUUGUCCCAUGUUGCUGGACAAGUGGAUUAUUUCCAAUCUUUUGAAGUUACAAACAAUACUCCAAUGAACUGAAUAAGUAUAAGUACCCUUUAUAAGUAUCAUUUUGUACUUGAAUAGGUGUACCUGUGGGAUAUACUUCCAGAAGUGGAAUUGCUGAAUCAAAAGAAGCUCUUUGUAAAAUGGGCGCUGUGAGUACAGCAGGAACAAAACAAAGUCUCCGCCUUCACAAGGCCAACUUCCCAUGAAUGAUCCCUUUCUAUAACUGGUACUGCUAGAAAGAAUUCUCUUCUUUCAAUACAGAGACUGAGGCCAUGGGCAGCAA